UACGUAGAGUCCGAGCGUUGUCCGGAAUUAUUGGGCGUAGAGGGCUCGUAGGCGGUCUGUUGCGUCGGGAGUGAAAACUUACAGCUUAACUGUGAGCGUGCUUUCGAUACGGGCAGACUUGAGGCAUUCAGGGGAGAACGGAAUUCCUGGUGUAGCGGUGAAAUGCGCAGAUAUCAGGAGGAACACCGGUGGCGAAGGCGGUUCUCUGGGAAUGUCCUGACGCUGAGGAGCGAAAGUGUGGGGAGCGAACAGG
rnacentral:rRNA from 1 species